ensembl:snRNA U6 U6 spliceosomal RNA
GUGCUUGCUUUGGCAGCACAUAUACUAAAAUUGGAAUGAUACAGAGAAGAUUAGCAUGGCCCCUGCACAAGGAUGACAUGCAAAUUCGUGAAGCGUUCCAUAUUUUU